ACCUGGGUGGCUUAGUCUGUUAAGCCUCUGACUUCAGCUCAGGUCAUAAUCUCAUAGUUUGUGAGUUCAAGCCCCAUCUCAGGCU
rfam:Felis catus isolate Cinnamon breed Abyssinian chromosome D4, whole genome shotgun sequence.